rnacentral:rRNA from 1 species
GCAUAUCAAUAAGCGGAGGAAAAAGAAACCAACAGGGAUUGCCCCCAGUAACGGCGAGUGAAGCGGCAACAGCUCAAAUUUGAAAUCUGGCUUCGGCCCGAGUUGUAAUUUGUAGAGGAUGCUUUUGGUGAGGUGCCUUCUGAGUUCCCUGGAACGGGACGCCAGAGAGGGUGAGAGCCCCGUAUAGUCGGCCACCGAUCCUCUGUAAAGCUCCUUCGACGAGUCGAGUAGUUUGGGAAUGCUGCUCUAAAUGGGAGGUAUAUCUCUUCUAAAGCUAAAUAUAGGCCAGAGACCGAUAGCGCACAAGUAGAGUGAUCGAAAGAUGAAAAGCACUUUGAAAAGAGGGUUAAAUAGCACGUGAAAUUGUUGAAAGGGAAGCGCUUGUGACCAGACUUGUGCCGGGCUGAUCAUCCAGUGUUCUCACUGGUGCACUCGACCCGGCUCAGGCCAGCGUCGGUUCUCGUAGGGGGAUAAAAGCUUCGGGAACGUGGCACCUUCGGGUGUGUUAUAGCCCGUUGCUCAAUACCCCUGUGGGGACCGAGGUUCGCGCUCUGCAAGGACGCUGGCAUAAUGGUCAUCAGCGACCCGUCUUGAAACACGGACCAAGGAGUCGAGGUUUUGCGCGAGUGUUUGGGUGUAAAACCCGCACGCGUAAUGAAAGUGAACGUAGGUGAGAGCUUCGGCGCAUCAUCGACCGAUCCUGAUGUAUUCGGAUGGAUUUGAGUAAGAGCGUAUAGCCUCGGACCCGAAAGAUGGUGAACUAUGCCUGAAUAGGGUGAAGCCAGAGGAAACUCUGGUGGAGGCUCGCAGCGGUUCUGACGUGCAAAUCGAUCGUCAAAUUUGGGCAUGGGGGGCGAAAGACUAAUCGAACCAUCUAGUAGCUGGUUACCGCCGAAG